rnacentral:rRNA from 1 species
GACGAACGCUGGCGGCGUGCCUAAUACAUGCAAGUUGAGCGCUGAAGGUUGGUACUUGUACCAACUGGAUGAGCAGCGAACGGGUGAGUAACGCGUGGGGAAUCUGCCUUUGAGCGGGGGACAACAUUUGGAAACGAAUGCUAAUACCGCAUAAAAACUUUAAACACAAGUUUUAAGUUUGAAAGAUGCAAUUGCAUCACUCAAAGAUGAUCCCGCGUUGCAUUAGCUAGUUGGUGAGGUAAAGGCUCACCAAGGCGAUGAUACAUAGCCGACCUGAGAGGGUGAUCGGCCACAUUGGGACUGAGACACGGCCCAAACUCCUACGGGAGGCAGCAGUAGGGAAUCUUCGGCAAUGGACGAAAGUCUGACCGAGCAACGCCGCGUGAGUGAAGAAGGUUGUCGGAUCGUAAAACUCUGUUGGUAGAGAAGAACGUUAGUGAGAGUGGAAAGCUCAUCAAGUGACGGUAACUACCCAGAAAGGGACGGCUAACUACGUG